GGACAAGAGAAGUAUGAAGUAAAAAUAACAAAGACUCCCCAGACUAUUUGCAGGACAGUGCAGCUGUGCCUCACAGACAGCACAGUGGUUGAAUACAAAGUCUUGAACCUAACAGGUUAGGCUUUCAGUAGCAGAAGAUCUUCUCAGACCUUCUGGGACUCCAGUUUCAUAAAGGUAGAUGAAUAAGUCAAGAGUGUAGUUGUCAAUGCUGUGCAAGAGUUGAGUACUGAAAAGCUGUUGUUGACUGACAGAUAAAGAAAAUGUGAUGGAAGCUACAAGGAAGCCAAAGGUGUGUGGAAGCUCUGAAGCUCUGCAACAGAGGUAAAAUUUCCUGUAUGAUUACAAACUGUUCCAAAGUGUAGUUCUGCAGCAAGCAGGAAAUGAGAGCUGUCAGAUUGUUUCCUUUUUGUACAGGUGUGAGAUGUCCCAAUCAUUUUUUUGUCAUUUGUUCCUG